GAUGUGAGUAGCUUCCCUUUAUAUUUUGAACGUCAUUUGUAUCAUAAGAAACAUGUGAAACCUCAACCAGCAUAUAGCAGAUAUUUCAGAUAGUGGCACAUUACCUGAUAUAAGACAAUGUUGUUGCCCAAAUAACAUCAAAAUGUAGUUGUGAAAGAAACCAGGGUUUAGAAUACUUCAAACAUUCCAGAGCAAGAUGUGUACAGUGAGAAGUUUGGGAAGUUAAAGGGACAUAAAACUGAUAUAAAGGGACAUUAAAAGUGACUGAAGAUUUGGUGUGGCGUUGUUUUCAUGUCAAGUCUGAAGUUCAAGUGCCGCCAUUUUGUCUUGUUGACCAUUGUGAAAAGAGAUGCUUGCGCUGAUAUCCGAUGAAGAUAAUGGUAUUGAAGGCAGAGACGGGGACGUUUGUUUUCAUUUCAUAAAACAAAUGAUAUUCAGCAGACGGAAAAUGGAUGGGAUUUGCCAAUGUCGGUUUUGAUAGCAAGAUGGAUGACCGAUCUUACUGUUGCACUUUCAUUUAUCCGCCGACUUCAAUAUGUUGCGAUAGGGACGAGAUACUACAAUCACUAACGCAACAAAGAGCCGGCUAAGAUAACAUGCUAACUGAUAAAUAGCCAUAAUGCACUGUUAAACGUGGUAUAAGCCGGUAAAGUGGUUAUUUAAUACUGAUAUCAGCUACUGAUAAUAUUGAAUAUCGGUGGAUCGAAAGAUAAAAAAAAAUUUCAGUUUUUUUUUUUUUUCGCUGAGUGCUUUCAAAAUAUUUGUCUUUGUAAUUAAGAGUGGAAAAAGAUUUUUUUUUGUUGAAUUUGUUCACUAAUUAGCUAACAUGACAAUUUGUUUUAAAAAAAAGAAUUGAACGAAGUCUAAAAACGUUUUUAGAUAAUAGUCGGCUGUGUCGCUUUUGUGCAGUUUAGGAGAGAUGAUGUCUAAAAUAACAAUAAAACCACUAGAGUAAUAAUUGUUGAAAGGAAUUUUUUCUCCGGCUUUUGAAAAUGACAGAGAAUUAACAAACAUGGAAACGUUGAAUGUUUACAAAAGAACAAGGACUUUAUAAUGAAUUGAAAACUGCAAUUUACAUAUUUUCUCGGGCAAUUUUGAAUUAUCUUUUUUAUUUUUAAUUGAAGUGAAAUUCAGCAAUAUUACAUGAUUGCACUCUUAAUUCACUUUUAAAUAGAAAGAUAAACUGUAAUUAAAUUUAAAUUACUGAAAUUAAGUAUUUGAAGUAUAUACAAUUAAGGAGAAACUUUCAAUAUUGUAUAUCAGUUGAAUAUAUCAUUGUAGAUGGCAAUUAUGUUUAAAUUUAGCCACUUAUUCUUUCAUAAAGCUUUGAUGUAAUGUUAAUUGCAUUGAAACUGAUCUCGCAAGAUUUUAAUUUCGUAUUUUGAACGGAGGAGUUAUACUUCUGAGACGCAAAUCUGUACAUGAUUGAUCCUUGAAAGAAAUGAUGCAACCUUCUUUGUAUGAAACCGAUUGUGAAAGAAAUUAAUGUACGAAACAAAAUCUUUCUGUUGCGGAAAUGUUGGGGUUAAAUAUGUAAUUCAAAGAACCUUGUUUCUUAAAGCGUAACAUGAAAAGACAAGAUAAAUGUACAUUUCCCUUAGAAAAUUAUUCACAAAAGAGACACAGAUCUUUCUAUCAGUUUUAUUGAUAUGCAAAUCAAUGUAAGCAAAACAGUAUUUUACUAUGUCUUACAAAUUUCCUGUAGAAAAAAACCCUGUAAUUAUUUGUCUACAAAACGUACCAAAAAUCGGCUCAAUGCUCAUUUGUCUAAGAGCGGGAAACUGACGUCUGCUGCAAUUGAGAGGCUCAGUGAAAAGCUUUUAUACGAAAAUCAGAUACGACUGGAUAAUCUGACUCGGCUAUUGUAUAAACGUGUGGACAAUCAUUCUUGUUGUAUCAGAUAUAGGGUUAAUGUAGAUGUCACAGGUUUACUUCGACGACAAUGACGAUGAUCACAGUGUCGGUAAUGACAUAGACAAUAAUAAUUUGAUUAAUUUACACGACUGAUGUCACAUCUCACCAUGCAAAGACAAAAGGAGUAAUUGGCGUGCUGAAUAAUUUCAACGCAAAAAAUUGAUUCAAGAUUAAUCUGAGAAAUAAGGUUCAUUUUGUAUAAAACUGAAGUUAGAAAAUAAUAGAUAAAUGUAUAUUAUAUAUAUGAAAAAUAAAUGAAGAAAGAAAAAGAUA